GACGAACGCUGGCGGCGUGCUUAACACAUGCCAGUCGAACGGAAAGGCCCUGCUUUUGUGGGGUGCUCGAGUGGCGAACGGGUGAGUAACACGUGAGUAACCUGCCCUUGACUUUGGGAUAACUUCAGGAAACUGGGGCUAAUACCGGAUAGGAGCUCCUGCUGCAUGGUGGGGGUUGGAAAGUUUCGGCGGUUGGGGAUGGACUCGCGGCUUAUCAGCUUGUUGGUGGGGUAGUGGCUUACCAAGGCUUUGACGGGUAGCCGGCCUGAGAGGGUGACCGGCCACAUUGGGACUGAGAUACGGCCCAGACUCCUACGGGAGGCAGCAGUGGGGAAUAUUGCACAAUGGGCGGAAGCCUGAUGCAGCAACGCCGCGUGCGGGAUGACGGCCUUCGGGUUGUAAACCGCUUUCGACUGUGACGAAGCGUGAGUGACGGUAAUGGGUAAAGAAGCACCGGCUAACUACGUG
rnacentral:rRNA from 1 species